rnacentral:rRNA from 1 species
GUGAGGAAUAUUGGACAAUGGGCGCAAGCCUGAUCCAGCCAUGCCGCGUGCAGGAAGACGCAUCUAUGGUGUGUAAACUGCUUUUGUACGGGAAGAAACACUCCCUCGUGAGGGAGCUUGACGGUACCGUAAGAAUAAGGAUCGGCUAACUCCGUGCCAGCAGCCGCGGUAAUACGGAGGAUCCAAGCGUUAUCCGGAAUCAUUGGGUUUAAAGGGUCCGUAGGCGGUUUAAUAAGUCAGUGGUGAAAGCCCAUCGCUCAACGAUGGAACGGCCAUUGAUACUGUUAGACUUGAAUUACAAGGAAGUAACUAGAAUAUGUAGUGUAGCGGUGAAAUGCUUAGAUAUUACAUGGAAUACCAAGUGCGAAGGCAGGUUACUACUUGUGGAUUGACGCUGAUGGACGAAAGCGUGGGGAGCGAACAGGAUUAGAAACCCGAGUAGUCC